CUGGCGUGCUGGACACCGACACCGGAGGGGUACCUCGGGGUGGAGAGCUCCUCGCUUUCAGGCAGGAUAAGGGAAUCGACGUAGUAGCUCAAGGCCAGACACGAUGAUGGGCCGUGAGAGAAGGCUGCAUCUCUCAGGGAAAUGAAACUUUGAGCUUGGAGUUGAGGAAUUUGGAGGAUAGCUUGUCAAUAAAUUCAUCCAAACUUUUUGUUCCCUUUUUGAGUCGCUGUUUAUCAUGAAAAUCCAUAGUUGGAGGUGGACGCUCUUGCUGAUCUCUAGGCGGCGCUCUCGGGUCAGGUACAUGUUGAAGAGGAACUCCUUCUCCAGUUCCAGGGUCUGGUGUUUG